CCCCGAACAAGGUCUCCGUUGGUGAACCAGCCGGAGGGGAUCAUUACCGAGUUUACAACUCCCAAACCCAAUGUGAACGUUACCAAACUGUUGCCUCGGCGGGAUCUCUGCCCCGGGUGCGUCGCAGCCCCGGACCAAGGCGCCCGCCGGAGGACCAACCAAAACUCUUAUUGUAUACCCCCUCGCGGGUUUUUUUAUAAUCUGAGCCUUCUCGGCGCCUCUCGUAGGCGUUUCGAAAAUGAAUCAAAACUUUCAACAACGGAUCUCUUGGUUCUGGCAUCGAUGAAGAACGCAGCGAAAUGCGAUAAGUAAUGUGAAUUGCAGAAUUCAGUGAAUCAUCGAAUCUUUGAACGCACAUUGCGCCCGCCAGUAUUCUGGCGGGCAUGCCUGUCCGAGCGUCAUUUCAACCCUCGAACCCCUCCGGGGGGUCGGCGUUGGGGAUCGGCCCUGCCUUGGCGGUGGCCGUCUCCGAAAUACAGUGGCGGUCUCGCCGCAGCCUCUCCUGCGCAGUAGUUUGCACACUCGCAUCGGGAGCGCGGCGCGUCCACAGCCGUUAAACACCCAACUUCUGAAAUGUGACCUCGGAU
rnacentral:rRNA from 1 species